rnacentral:rRNA from 1 species
GACGAACGCUGGCGGCGUGCCUAAUACAUGCAAGUCGAGCGAAGCGGGGACGGGUGAGUAACACGUGGGCAACCUCCUGUAAGACUGGGAUAACUCCGGGAAACCGGGGCUAAACCGGUAUCUUACAGAUGGGCCCGCGGCGCAUUAGCUAGUUGGUGAGGUAACGGCUCACCAAGGCGACGAUGCGUAGCCGACCUGAGAGGGUGAUCGGCCACACUGGGACUGAGACACGGCCCAGACUCCUACGGGAGGCAGCAGUAGGGAAUCUUCCGCAAUGGACGAAAGUCUGACGGAGCAACGCCGCGUGAGUGAUGAAGGUUUUCGGAUCGUAAAACUCUGUUGUUAGGGAAGCGGUACCUAACCAGAAAGCCACGGCUAACUACGUGCCAGCAGCCGCGGUAAUACGUAGGUGGCAAGCGUUGUCCGGAAUUAUUGGGCGUAAAGCGCGCGCAGGCGGUUUCUUAAGUCUGAUGUGAAAGCCCAC